rnacentral:rRNA from 1 species
GAGGAAUAUUGGUCAAUGGGCGAGAGCCUGAACCAGCCAAGUAGCGUGCAGGAAGACGGCCCUAUGGGUUGUAAACUGCUUUUAUGUGGGGAUAAAGUGAGCUACGUGUAGUUUAUUGCAGGUACCACAUGAAUAAGGACCGGCUAAUUCCGUGCCAGCAGCCGCGGUAAUACGGAAGGUCCAGGCGUUGUCCGGAUUUAUUGGGUUUAAAGGGAGCGUAGGCCGUGGAUUAAGCGUGUUGUGAAAUGUAGACGCUCAACGUCUGAAUUGCAGCGCGAACUGGUUCACUUGAGUAUGCACAACGUAGGCGGAAUUCGUCGUGUAGCGGUGAAAUGCUUAGAUAUGACGAAGAACUCCGAUUGCGAAGGCAGCUUACGGGAGCACAACUGACGCUGAAGCUCGAAGGUGCGGGUAUCAAACAGGAUUAGAUACCCUGGUAGUCCGCACAGUAAACGAUGGAUGCCCGUUGUUAGUUCACUUAAGAAUUAGCGACCAAGCGAAAGCAUUAAGCAUCCCACCUGGGGAGUACGCCGGCAACGGUG